GUUUGUGUGGAUGAACCAGCACCUAAAGGUGAAAAGGGAGAUAAAGGUGACAAAGGAGAACCUGGAGAUAAAGGUCCAAGAGGCGACCAAGGACCAGUAGGAAAUCAAGG